rnacentral:rRNA from 1 species
CCUACGGGUGGCAGCAGUCGAGAAUCAUUCACAAUGGGGGAAACCCUGAUGGUGCGACGCCGCGUGGGGGAAUGAAGGUCUUCGGAUUGUAAACCCCUGUCAUGUGGGAGCAAAUUAAAAAGAUAGUACCACAAGUGGAAGAGACGGCUAACUCUGUGCCAGCAGCCGCGGUAAUACAGAGGUCUCAAGCGUUGUUCGGAAUCACUGGGCGUAAGGCGUGCGUAGGCUGUUUCGUAAGUCGUGUGUGAAAGGCGCGGGCUCAACCCGCGGACGGCACAUGAUACUGCGAGACUAGAGUAAUGGAGGGGGAACCGGAAUUCUCGGUGUAGCAGUGAAAUGCGUAGAUAUCGAGAGGAACACUCGUGGCGAAGGCGGGUUCCUGGACAUUAACUGACGCUGAGGCACGAAGGCCAGGGGAGCGAAAGGGAUUAGAUACCCCAGUAGUC